rnacentral:tRNA from 1 species
AAGAAUGCAGUAUUAGGUACGUGAGAUUUAAGAUCUUAAAGUUUUAUUCUUA